CGCGGCGACUGGGCGGCGGGUGCCAUGCGCCUGGAGCUUCAUAGUCUCAGCUCCCGCCCACCGCACCCGCCCGCCUCCGCGGUCACGCCCCAGGCCGCCGACACCUGUCAAGCAGGUGAGUUCGAGCAGUCCCGGGGUUGGUUCGGCCCGGGAUGGGCUAGACCGGGAGCCAAACCGCAAGCGUCCCCGAGGUGUCCUAGUGCCCUGGGUGGCCUCCUCGAAUGUGGCCUGAGCCUCUGGAGUAGCUUUCGGGAGCAAACGCCUCGGAGCAGGAGACAUGGGCGGUGCUGGGGACCUGACGAGCGAACCAACGCCAUCCUUUCCUGCUGCUCCACCUCUGCUCCCCCUUCCUGCGGAGUCACUAAACUAACUGAAAACUGAUUCGUGCCUAUAACCAUUAGAGCAAAUAGCUAUCAUUUUCUCGUCGCCUACUUCGUGCCUGGCGCAGUGCUUAAUGCUAGAUCUCAAGCAAAGAGGGACACAGCAGACUCCUGCCCUGAAACACUGUGUGUCCCAACCCAGGAGGAAUUGAUGGCAGCACAGAUGAAAAAAUGCCAGAAAACCUCAGAGCAGUCUGGCCUCAACCACCGCAAACAGCUCUCAACAGCCUGCCCCCAGCUCACCCUUCCUUUUCAUAAAAAAAUAAACACAGAACCUGAGAUUUGGUGGCAGCAGUGGGAUCUGAAGUGAACUUCUGAUGGCUUCAGGACAACAAGAAACACAGGCAUGGUAUUCCACAAACCCACUGAGUUCUCUGUCUUCCUGCCAUUUCCGAAGGCCAUGGAGAUUGCUCACAAGCAGACCUGAGUUGGCAGUGCAACCUGAGCGGAUUCUCCAGAGUUGCCACCAAGGGAGAAAGGAGUCCGUUAAAGUCUGUGCCUACGUCCACUACUUCUGCCACAUCCCACUGGCAGAACCCAAUCACGGGGUCCCAUCCUAACUGCAAGGGAGCCAGGAAAUGUUGUCUUUUGUGUGCCAGGAAGAGAAAACGAAAUUGAUGGGUGUCUCGCCAGUCUUUCCUGCAAGUUUCUCCAAGAUGUGUGACAUCAUAACUAUGGGAUCUACAGAGCAGGGAAGCACUGGCUUUGGAAUCCAAAGUCUCCCCCAGCUAUCCUUUGACCUAAGGAUUGUAGUGUUCCCUGUUCUUGUGUGAACAGAUUGCUUUAGCAUCAAGGGAAUGAACUCGAAGAGAACAGACAAAACGCAGGAGUGUUACAGGGAAGAAACAUAUUAAGAGAUCUAAAGAUGCACUUCCUCAUUAUUUGUAAGGAAGCUAUUUCCUAGAUUCCUGGAGCUAUAAAAAGCCAAGUGAAUUUGCUUAAGUUAAUGAAUUUUAUUGAAUUCUGAUGAUAAUACCACAGCAAAAUGUUUUAUUUCCUCUCUUUAUUGCUUCCUGUUAGUUACUGAGAGAAGAAAUCCAGUGU